UACGUAGGGUGCGAGCGUUAAUCGGAAUUACUGGGCGUAAAGCGUGCGCAGGCGGUUUUGUAAGUCAGAUGUGAAAUCCCCGGGCUCAACCUGGGAAUGGCAUUUGUGACUGCACGGCCAGAGUGUGUCAGAGGGGGGUAGAAUUCCACGUGUAGCAGUGAAAUGCGUAGAUAUGUGGAGGAAUACCGAUGGCGAAGGCAGCCCCCUGGGAUAACACUGACGCUCAUGCACGAAAGCGUGGGGAGCAAACAGG
rnacentral:rRNA from 1 species